ACCAAAAGAAAAAGGAAAGCAGCGCCAUUAAUCGAGGUUUGCAUCUGCUAAAAAUGUAAAAUAAAAUGAAGAAUCUCCUAUUAUUAUUAUAUAACCUGUUAUAGAUGCAUGUCAUAAAAACAAGUAAAUGGAAAUAUUUUAAGGGUAGAGGACAGAUAUAAAACUAAAUGCUCAAUAUUAAGAAAUGGAAACAUAACCAGAAAGGAAAUAAUACUAAAUAUUAAGGGUUAAGUUAAACUUAAAACUUGACAAGGAACAAUACUAGCUGUUGAGGACAAAUACAUCAAUUCUAUCACUUUCAUGUUUUGCAUGAAGCAUUCAUUAUCCGACAGAUAGAAAUAUUGUGCUAAAAGAUUUUAAAACAAAACUAUCAAAGUAUAGGAAGCUUUUAGAUUUCAGUUAAGCAGAGACCUGAGUCUCCAAAUUUCAAUUA